AUGGCGGCGGCGGCGAAGACGGCGACUGGGGCGUUGCGCCGGGUGCUCCUCCCGACGAUCAGGCGGCGACUCGCCACCAGCACCGGGCAGCCCCUCAUCUCCUUCACCGGCGCCCGCGCCGGCACCACCGAGGUUAAACUCCGCGAGCAGUCGCCGCGAAGUCUCCCGGCCCAUUCCUCAGUUUCGGCGGGCUGCCGCCCCCCACACCAGAAGUCCAAACCCCCCGGAAAAUCCCCAAAUCUCCGCCAACUGCCGGCGAGGGGGAAGGCGGCGGCGGCGAUGGCGGGGACGAUCUCCCGCAUCCGGCUGGAGAACUUCAUGUGCCACUCCAGCCUCGACAUCGAGCUCGGCCAGCACGUCAACUUCAUCACCGUCCAGAACGGCAGCGGGAAGAGCGCCAUCUUGACGGCUCUCUGCAUAGCCUUCGGCUGCCGCGCCAAGAACACGCAGCGCGCCGCCACGCUGAAAGAUUUCAUCAAGACUGGUUGCAGCGAUGCAGCAAUUGCUGUUGACAUCAACAACCAAGGGGAAGAUGCGUUCAAGCCUGACAUAUAUGGGAACUUAAUUAAAUUGGAGCGCAGGAUUACCAAGUCAUCUAGUUCUACUAUCUUAAAAGAUCAACAUGGGAGGAAGGUGGCACAUCGCAAAGAUGAUCUUAAUGAGAUAGUCGAACAUUUUAAUAUUGAUGUUGAAAAUCCUUGUGUAAUUAUGAGUCAAGACAAAAGUAGAGAAUUUCUGCACUCAGGAAAUGACAAGGAUAAGUUUAAGUUCUUCUUCAAGGCUACUCUUCUUCAACGACUCAAAGAGUUGCUUGAGACAAUCAGAGAUCAGGUGCACAAGGCAGACUCUGAUGUUCAAGAACUGGAGAAGUCAAUUAAGCCAGUGAUGAGAGAACUUGAUGAAUUACGAGAGAAGAUAAAGAAUAUGGAACACAUAGAAGAGAUAGCACAUGAUAUUGAUAAUUUGAAGAAAAAGUUAGCCUGGUCAUGGGUUUAUGAAGUUGACCAGCAAAUUGAGGUUGUUAUUGAUAAACUGAAGAAAGAACUAAUUGAAAAGGAAGAAAAUCUCAGAUCUUUGGUGGGUAAGACUCGUGAAGAGAACAACAUGAAGAAAAGUAUGGAAAAUAACAUUGCUGAGGCUGUGAAGCGGGAGAUAGAACUAGAGGCGGAGCAUGAGCGUGGUGCACACAUGCUGGAGAGAAAGAAUGGCCGCCUGAAUCAAUUGCAGGCACAACUUCGUGAUUUCCAAAUGCAGCAUAUGCAAUCUACUCAAGCUGAGGCAUCUCAAAUGGAGAAAGAUAUGCAGAACAUACAACAACAGAUUGAUCAUCUUCAUUCAAAUGUUACAAGGUUAAGAGAGGAUGAAAAUGAAUUCACAGCAGAAUUAUCAGGCAUCGUAAAAUCUAUCAAUGACAUAUCAAAAGAGGUAUCUUAA
rnacentral:rRNA from 1 species